GGCCGGUUGGCCCAAUGGCAAGGCGUCUGACUAUGACAUACCGUGGAAUCAGGAGAUUGUGGUUCGACCCCCAUGCUGGUCA
rnacentral:tRNA from 1 species